ensembl:lncRNA novel transcript
GGAGAGGCGCACAGCGGCGGCGCAGGCGCGGAGAGGCGCACAGCGCAGGCGCUGGCGCGGAGAGGCGCAGGCCCAGGUCCACUCCCCAGCUGUGAAAGGAGGAGCUCUACGGUGACUUUGAAGACUUGGAAACAGGGGACAUGCACAAGGGAAAAUCGGGCCCCGACACUCAGAAUGAAGAUAUAGAGAAACAAGGAAGAAAUUGACCCCGACGAAGAAGAAAGUGCCAAGAAAAAGCAUUUGGAUAAGAAGAGAAAAUUGAAGGAGAUGUUUGAUGCGGAAUAUGAUGAAGGAGAAAGCACAUAUUUUGAUGAUCUUAAAGGAGAAAUGCAGAAAGAAGCACAGCUGAAUCACGUAGAAUUUGAAGAUCAAGAUGAUGAAGCCAGAGUUCAGUAUGAUGGUUUUCGACCUGGGAUGUACGUCCGCGUUGAGAUUGAAAAUGUUCCCUGUGAAUUUGUGCAGAACUUUGACCCCCAUUACCCCAUUAUCCUGGGUGGCUUGGGCAACAGCGAGGGAAAUGUUGGACACGUGCAGAUGCGUCUGAAGAAACAUCGCUGGUAUAAGAAAAUCCUCAAGUCCCAAGAUCCAAUCAUAUUUUCUGUAGGGUGGAGGAGGUUUCAGACCAUCCUGCUCUAUUAUAUUGAAGACCACAAUGGAAGACAAAGGCUUCUAAAGUAUACCCCACAGCACAUGCAUUGUGGAGCAGCCUUUUGGGACCCUAUCACUCCACAGGGAACUGGUUUCUUGGCAAUACAGUCUGUCAGUGGCAUAAUGCCUGAUUUUCGGAUAGCUGCCACAGGAGUUGUCCUUGAUCUGGAUAAAUCCAUAAAAAUUGUGAAGAAAUUAAAGCUAACUGGUUUUCCAUAUAAAAUUUUCAAGAACACUUCAUUUAUUAAGAUAUUGUCUUCAUGCGAACUUGGUAUCCUGUUUCCAUCCCAGCCUUCUAUAACCCAGUAACAUCUUUGUUGAAACCAGUGGGUGAGAAAGACACCUGGUCAGGAAUGUGGACCACGGGCCACCUCGGGCUCGCCCAUGGUGUCAGACUAAAGACAAACAAGGACUCUCUGUAUAAGGUACUGGUCGUGUGUGUGUUAGUGGAGAUGAAGCCUGUGCCCUACAGACAGGGAGUCACGCAGACACUUUUCUAUAAUUUCUUACGUACUUUGAAUGUUCAAGUAUAAAGUCUAAUGUUAAAUUUGAUUGAACAAUUGUAUAUUUGUGGGAUAUUUUGGAAUGGAACACCAAAAAAUGGUAAUAGUGGUUCUUUCUGGAUUGAAGACAAACUUUUCUUUUUUAAAAUAAAUUUUAUUUUAUAUAUUUGAGGUUGACAACAUGAUCUUAAAGGAUAAAUAUAGAUAGUAAACUGGUUACUAUAGUGAAGCAAAUUAACAUAGCUACCAUCUCACAUAGUUAGAUUUUUGUUUGUGUGACAGGAACAGCUAAAAUCUACUUAUUUAACAAAAAUCCCAAAGACAAUAUAUUUUUAUUAACUAUAGCCCUCAUGAUGUACACUAGAUCUCUAACUUGUUCAUCCUACAUGUCUGCUACUUUGUAUUAUUUUAAUGUACAUCUCCCCAUUUCCUACUGGUCAUUUCCUAUUUGGCCCAUUUUUCAACUGGGUUGUUUUUCUGCUAUUAAGUUGUAAGAGUUCUUUACUGAUUUUUGGAUAUUAACACUUUAUCAGAUA